rnacentral:rRNA from 1 species
UACGGAGGAUCCAAGCGUUAUCCGGAUUCACUGGGUUUAAAGGGUGCGUAGGCGGACUUGUAAGUCAGUGGUGAAAUCUCUUUGCUUAACAAAGAAACUGCCAUUGAUACUGCAGGUCUAGAGUAUAGAUGACGUUGGCGGAAUAUGACAUGUAGUGGUGAAAUACUUAGAUAUGUCAUAGAACACCGAUUGCGAAGGCAGCUAACGAAACUAUAACUGACGCUGAGGCACGAAAAGUGCGGGGAUCAAACAGG